AUGCUUUACACAUGCAAGUCGAACGGCAGCGCGGGGCAACCUGGCGGCGAGUGGCGAACGGGUGAGUAAUAUAUCGGAACGUACCCAAGAGUGGGGGAUAACGUAGCGAAAGUUACGCUAAUACCGCAUACGAUCUAAGGAUGAAAGUGGGGGAUCUUCGGACCUCAUGCUCCUGGAGCGGCCGAUAUCUGAUUAGCUAGUUGGUGAGGUAAAGGCUCACCAAGGCGACGAUCAGUAGCUGGUCUGAGAGGACGACCAGCCACACUGGGACUGAGACACGGCCCAGACUCCUACGGGAGGCAGCAGUGGGGAAUUUUGGACAAUGGGCGCAAGCCUGAUCCAGCAAUGCCGCGUGAGUGAAGAAGGCCUUCGGGUUGUAAAGCUCUUUUGUCAGGGAAGAAAC
rnacentral:rRNA from 1 species